rnacentral:rRNA from 1 species
AUGCACGCUGGCGGCGUGCCUAAUACCUGCAAGUCGCGCGAACGGACGAGAAGCUUGCUUCUCUGAUGUUAGCGGCGGACGGGUGAGUAACACGUGGAUAACCUACCUAUAAGACUGGGAUAACUUCGGGAAACCGGAGCUAAUACCGGAUAAUAUUUUGAACCGCAUGGUUCAAAAGUGAAAGACGGUCCUGCUGUCACUUAUAGAUGGAUCCGCGCUGCAUUAGCUAGUUGGUAAGGUAACGGCUUACCAAGGCAACGAUGCAUAGCCGACCUGAGAGGGUGAUCGGCCACACUGGAACUGAGACACGGUCCAGACUCCUACGGGAGGCAGCAGUAGGGAAUCUUCCGCAAUGGGCGAAAGCCUGACGGAGCAACGCCGCGUGAGUGAUGAAGGUCUUCGGAUCGUAAAACUCUGUUAUUAGGGAAGAACAUAUGUGUAAGUAACUGUGCACAUCUUGACGGUACCUAAUCAGAAAGCCACGGCUAACUACGUG